CCUACGGGAGGCAGCAGUGAGGAAUAUUGGUCAAUGGGCUUACGCCUGAACCAGCCAAGUCGCGUGAGGGAAGACUGCCCUAUGGGUUGUAAACCUCUUUUGUCAGGGAGCAACGCCGGCUACGUGUAGCCGGACUGAGAGUACCUGAAGAAAAAGCAUCGGCUAACUCCGUGCCAGCAGCCGCGGUAAUACGUAGGGGGCAAGCGUUAUCCGGAUUUACUGGGUGUAAAGGGAGCUUAGACGGCAGUGCAAGUCCGGGGUGAAAGCCCGGGGCUCAACCCUGGGACUGCUCUGGAAACGGUAAAGCUGGAGGGCGGGAGGGGCAGGCGGAAUUCCGGGUGUAGCGGUGAAAUGCGUAGAUAGCAGGAGGAACACCGGCGGCGAGGGCGGCCUGCUGGACCGUAACUGACGUUGAGGCUCGAAAGCGUGGGGAGCAAACAGGAUUAGAUACCCGUGUAGUC
rnacentral:rRNA from 1 species